CAGCCGCCACGGGAAUACGAAGGGUGCAAGCGUUAGUCGGAAUUACUGGGCGUAAAGCGUGCGUAGGCGGUGAGUUAAGUCUGCUGUGAAAUCCCCGGGCUCAACCUGGGAAUGGCAGUGGAUACUGGCUCGCUAGAGUGUGUCAGGGGAUGGUGGAAUUCCCGGUGUAGCGGUGAAAUGCGUAGAGAUCGGGAGGAACAUCAGUGGCGAAGGCGGCCAUCUGGGACAACACUGACGCUGAGGCACGAAAGCGUGGGGAGCAAACAGGAUUAGAUACCCCCGUAGUCCCUGUCUCUUAUAA
rnacentral:rRNA from 1 species